CGGAGACGGCAUCUUCCUCCCUCCGCUCAGGUGACGGACAAACGCCCCAGAUUCCCCCAGCGCUGGCCCGGGAGCUUCCUCCUCCCUCCCUCGGGGUGGGGCCUCUCCCAGGUAGCCUUUUAACCCAGUGUGGUCACACACGUGAGCGUCUCUCUUUCUCUCACGCGCACACACGCAUGCUACACAGGCCAGCCGAGAGACCAACCAGCCACUCCUGUCUGGAUCCUCCGGGGCUGGAAAGCGGCAAGGGGGGGCCACGCAGGUCCUUUAGCUUGAAUGUCGCCUCUCGGCUUCCCAGAGCUGACCUUACUGGUCCAGGCGCCCCCAGGGCAGGCAGGACCACGAAAGCAGGCUGUGGGGGGAACCCAAAGGGAACCUCAAGUCGCUAGUCCCUUUGAAUCGAUCCUCCCCGGUGUUUGGAUGUCUUUGGACGUCAAUGAGCGCGACGUGCGUUUCCACGUUGCUCUGAUUCUGGAAACCCCUUUGCAGGCCUUUUGAUAUUGCGGCGAGGUAGGAAGAGUUAGAAAUUGUAAAAAAGAGGGUUUAGGAGUUGACAGUAAACUUUGCAGAGGAUUCCCAAGCUGGCCUCUCGUAAACCUCCGGUCUCUGCAGAAUUAUUUCCCCAGGACAGGUAGAGGCGGAGGAAUAGAUGGGAGUGAGCAAAGGGCAGUUCACACCCUAAACACACGCACACCUUUCGGAGUGAGUCACUGGCAGCCAGGAACCAACAGCAAAGAGAACUGGGCUGUCAGUGACCCAUGAAAACACACAAGGCUUACGCAACGUGGACGAAAUUGCUGACUAAUGGAGUCAUUCCCCAAGCCUUGCACCGGGCCAGCGAAAGGCCUGAAAACCAGCCCAAGAGAGAGAUUUGCAAGGCAACCCACCGCUCCCGAGGAGUCUUCUUGCUGCAUCUCUGCAUGAGAUGCUGUUCUGGGCUUGCUUCUCCUAAAAAAGCCUGGGGAGCAGGUUAUUUGCAGGUUCUGGGCUCGCUCUGACUGCAGGCGAGCAAACAAGUCAUGCUGAGGAUGGCAGGAGGAGCUCAGAGGUCCAGCCGAGGCUUCAGAGGAACACAACCCAUGCAGCUUGGCUACAGAGCAUUCUUCGUCUGCAAAAAAGAAAAAAGAAGUGAAAAGUCCUUGGUAACGGACGACAGCAGACCCCUUCCUGUUUUCGCUUUCGACUCGCAUCCUUAGGCUAAAAACUAAGGCCAGGCAAGAGGGGAAAGGCAACCGGUCUACCUCGCAGGGGCGUUGCAUCGAAUUCCAGCUGCUUGGGAGCGACGGCUUUGGGCCAAAAGGGCAGGCCCCCUGCGCUUCGCAAACCCUUUCCGAAAAUCAGACAUGCAUCGGCUGCGAAGCAGAUCGGGUGGAAAUUUAGCAGAAACCCAGACGUUGCCUGAGUGAAAGUCUCAUCCUGGGAAAUGGAGCAAUGCGGGUCUGAAAUAGUGCAAAGCCACCCGAGGGAGCUGCCCGCACAGGACCAAGCGCGGGGACCGGUUGCGAGGGACAGUAUUCAAACUCUCCUUUUCUGGCUUCGGAGCAGAAGUCACACGCCAUGGCGCCCCUUGCCAAGAGGCAGGGAAAGAAAGAAGGUUAAAAUCGAAAUGUCGAAUUUAAGGAGCCCGGACAGCCAGCGCUGACCUUCUGCCAGCCGGAUUCUCCCUGGUUUUGAAACUGGAAUUAAAGAAAAAAUAGAUGGAAGGAAGAGAUGGAACCUUUCCCAUCCUUGCUACAAUUCCCCAAACUCCUCUCUCCCCGUGCAGAUUUACUCACGAGGAAGUCCCCGAGUUCUGCCGCAGCAACUUCUGCGGAGGACUAGCUCGGCCCGGCUUCAGAUGGGCUCUGCCCCCUCUUCCCCGCAGAUCUCCCGGCUUUCGAACUCGGCACCCUCCCGAAGGGGCUCCCUGCUGCUCCCUUGGGAAGGAAGGGCAACGUGAAAAGGCAACUUCCAAGCUGAAAAUAAAGCUGGGGUGCAGGAGGGGGGUGUAUGCAUGGGGGGGAUGAAAAUCCUGCCCAUCAAGAGACAGAAGGCAUGGGGGUUGAUUUAAGCGUGACCCCCAAAAAGAGCUUGAAUCAGAUGUUCUUUUUUUUUCCUUUUUCUUCCUCUGGCUGGAGAGAGGCUGAAAGCCGAAUUGACGACCCCUCCCUCCCCCAAAAGAAAGGAAAAAGCAAAAGCCGUUUACCUCUUAGGGGAGAAGGGAGAUGCCGGAGCCCCCUCGGCCGGCACAAAACUUGCUGCAAUCUUUGGCUUCCCAGCAAAAAUGACAUUGCCCAAGCCCAGAACAAACCGCUCACCUCAGCAUACUUGCAACACUGCCGCAGCCGUGUAAAACCGGCGCUGCAGGAUUUUGCACACAUCCCAACGUGCGGGAGAAUCUUAAAGGGGAAGGCAGCCGCUCCAGGAGCCGGGAAGGUCAGCCUGGAAAGGAGGAAGGGGGGGAGGCACUGGGGCAGGGGCGCCACGCUGGCACCCUCAAGGUUGCCGGGAAGGAAGCCCCCCGUCGCCACCCCGGUCCGAUCCCCUCUGUUGCCCUCUAAAGCAUCUUCCUCCGGGGAGGUGGGCAAAAGGGGAUCCUUUGCUUCCUGGUGGCGCAAGGAUGCGCUCUAGCUGCGCAUGGCCCGGCUUGCAUGAAGGGGGGGCCGGCUGCCAACAGGAUCACUGCACCAGCCUCGUGCCAGCCCGUGCCCUUCGGCCUGGCAGCGAUUCCCGCUGCUGAUCCCCUUUUCGAGGUGUUCGCUACAAAGCAGUGAAGCCAUCAUAGUCAGAUUCGCUAGGAGGAUGAGCGUGACUACUAUUAUAUUAAACAGCAUUUCCAAUUGCCGGAGCAAGAUUUUCCUUCCAUCACAACCCACGGCUGGUAUUUGACCGGGGGCGUGGGGGGGGGCUCCGCUGUCUGAUUCGUGCAAGAUACCUGCGAAAACGCUUUAAACCAACAAACCAGCAUCAAUCCUGAGAUUUAAGCUAGCCUCGGUGUGGCUCGUCGGCAUAGCUCCUUCUGAGGAGCACACCCCCUUCUCCCAAGAAGAAAUGAGGAUUAUAGGGGACGAGUGGGCAACCUCGGGAGCUCUUGAGAUCAGCAUCGCCAAGAUGGGCACCUCUUGACCGGAGGGCAACGGGAUGUCAGUCUCUGAGAUGACGAUCAAGAGCAGGAAAACCUCGUUCAAGCCCCAAUCGCCCAUGAAACGUCUCGACAACCUUCCUUCUCUGGUUCUCCCCAAAUAAAACAAGAUGACUUGCAGUUAUGAGACAAAGCUCCA